CCCUUCUUUCCAAAAAGCAUCGUGCUAAAAUCAUGGGUGUAGAGCCAUGUGGCUUAGCAUCCCGUGUUCAUGCUAGCAUCGGUAUUCUAAAGAAGGGAGAGAAGAGGCACAGAGUUGGCUAUGAGGUGGGGAGGGACCUCUUUCUUAAUGUCCAGUGUCCUCAUCCUCAAGAUUUGGUGCCACAGAA